rnacentral:lncRNA from 1 species
AACAAUCCAAUAAUGCUUAUUUCUUUUUAUUUUAGUAAUUGAGUUUUGUUACAAGAUAGAUUCUGAAACAGUUUUACACACACACACUACUCAACCUUGCUUAGCAAGGCAAUCAAACAUGACUUAUUAGGAAAAGAGAAAAUUGAAACAAAAUUAAGAUGAAGCAUGCAUGUCUCAUCAUCAUCGUCUGCUGCUUAUGAAGUUGCAGGGACCAAGCGUCUGGAGCAAAUUGUGCAGUAGAAUUUCUUCUUAACUUUAUGAGAGAUUGGAAGAAAACAAAAUCUCAAAUGGGCAUCAAAAUCUAUUGCCAGCACAGGCCCUCCACAGUAUGGGCAAGCUGCAUCAGCUCCAUUUCUCCUAAUCACCUUUUCUCGCAGAUCGAAUAUUGACAACACACUCAUUUUUCUCUUUUUGUUGGGGGACGUUGUUGUAAGCAAUGCUUGUUCUCAAUACAUUUAUUUAUGCACAUAAUACUUGAAUAUUUGGGCAUGCAACUUCUUUGGAGUUUCAUUUUUAAAGCUGUUUCUUAGCUGGGGCGCUAUUUUUUUUGUUUUUUUAGUUACAACUGUUAAAGAACUUGGUAUUUUGCUCGAACUGAUUGGUGAUGUUCACGUUUGGUGCGUUUAAAGCAAGAAAUGAAUCAAUUGAGAAGCUGCGAAGAAAUUGGUAUUGAAAGCAGCGAAGUUCGCUCCACGUCAAAAAAAUGGUGCUUGACUGUUUGACUUCUUGGACAUUUUAGCUGCGGUUUCUCACUGAGCCCGUGUUUUUAAUUACAAUAGAAGCUUUACACCCUGGAUUUUGAUGUAACUGAUGUAUUCAUUUGACGCACCGCACCAUAUUAUGUGAAAAGAAAGGAAUAAAAUCCUUUUUUUUAUCCGAAUAUUAUUGAAUUUUAAUGAUUUUUUAUUAUGUGUCUUUUAGUGAUAGUGUAUGGAUAAGAUUUAAUUUUUUUUUAUUUUUUUAUUUAUUAACAAUCAAUCAGUGAUUGAGUUAUUUACUCAUGACAUAAUCAGAUCAGAAGAAAAUCUUGAUCCGAAAAGAAAAUAGAUUAAAAUGUGCAACAUGUUUACAUGCUGCAUCACUUGGGAAGGUUGUAAGUUAUGAGCUCAUAAUUUGUGAUCCCCUUUGAGUCUAUUAGGAUUCUUUUCGGGUGGGCUUGGGCAGUACCAAAAGAAUGAGAUCCAAAGGGUGAAGGAGACAAUAUCUUGUUAGUGGAUCGGCCGUUACAUUAGAAUAGAUUGAGUUACAAGUGGGAUGAUGUUAUUCUUUUUUUUUAAUUAAUAUUAUUUAUUUUAGAAUUUCCCUUAUUGCACAAUAAAUAUUUUUUCUCCUCCCUCAGGAUCUCAAUAGACUAACUGACCACGUCUCACAUCUCUUUCUUUUCUUUUUCUUUUUUUUAAAUUGAUUCGCAAUUUGAAUGAAAUGUUAACUCACAGUCAAAUCCCCAACUAAAAUUAAACAAAAUCUUAUAAAAUCACAAGAAGUAAGGUCAAUAUCAUUAAUAACAACAAAAUCCAUCACUUGUUCAUAAAAUUUAAUAAAACUCAAUAUUGAAACUCGUCGUAUGUUGAUGGAUUUAUGUACCUGUUGUCGAUGAAGAUAGAUCGUAGAGGUGAUAAUUAUACUAGAGAGAGAGAGAAAGAGACGGGGUGGGGAAAGAGGGAAAAAAUAGAAUAAAAUAAUUAUUUUUUAAUUAAGAAUGAUUCAGAAAUAUUAUAAAAUAAAUUAAAAAGUGGUGGCCGGUAAGAUAGUUUGAGAAGAUCAAAUAUUAUUACUCUUAUCUCUUGACUUGCCAUUGCUCGGUCUUUUUUUUCUUUUUUCAAAAUGGACUUAUCGUUACAUUAGGAUAAAUUAA